rnacentral:tRNA from 1 species
GGGAGUUUGGCCGAGUGGUUAAGGCGCCACAUUUAGGCUGUGGUAUCUUCGGAUGCGCGAGUUCGAAUCUCGUGACUCUCA